UCAGCCUUCAGAACCUUGUCCAGAGAGAGGGGUCCUGGGUGGGCCUCCUCUUUCCCCCUUGCUCUCUUUCCAAAUGUGAUGUGAUCCUGGCAAGGCCACACACUGGAUGAAGCACAGAGGCCCCCAUGUCCUCUGUGGUGCUUGUGGACUCCUGUCUCUGAUCUUGCUCUCCUACUCCUCACCAUGGAGUAGCCCCAGCUAUGUUUUGGCUUAAAGGGAAGUGCUCUGUUCUGUGGCAAACCAAAAGUUGUGAAUUGGCUUUCCUGAGCAAUCCUGAAUGGGCUGGAUGCUGCAGAAUCCCCUGGGCCCAGCAAAACUGAUCAAUCUACAAGGAAAUUAAAAAGCCAGCAUCCCCAGACAGAACCCCACACCUGAGGAGCAUCAGGGUUUGGGGAGGUCUGGGAAAUCAAGCCAAAGAUGAACCCUUAGCCAUGGCUGCAUUUUCCAGUGGGGAGCCCCUUCCUCUGAAAUGAGAGAAGAGGAAGUUGGAAGCUCAUCCAUGGACCUAUGCCUGGUCCUGCCUGACUUUGAGAAACACUGGAGAGAACAAACUCACCAUGACUUUCCUAUCCAGCACAGGAAAACCUGGCUUGUAUAUCCCAUUAGAGGGGCUGCCGUGAGACCUGUCCAUGGAAGACAAGGCCCAGCCUGGGACUCAGGACCAGAGAUCAAACUCCAGUGUCAUUUUGAAUGUCGCCUUCAAAAUCCAGCUUGAAUGUUCCAGCCCCCCAGGCAGAAGUGGUCCCCUAUUCUCUGUACUACUGCAACCCCUUGGUUGGCCUUUUUGCAGGACGGGGUCUGUUGUGAUAUAUGUGUCUGUCCUAGACCGUGAGUUCCUUGUAUCAUCAGUAAGAGUCCAUGCAACCUUUUCAGAUUUGCUACCCACUUCUCCCUGGACAGCCAGGAGGCUGCUCUUUGUUUUAAAGACACGUGAAAUGGGAAGAAUCAGUAUCUUCAUUUCUGUAUAGACACAGCCACACUCUUCCAGGCUAUUAAAAAGGCAACUAAUUGUAAGACA